GCGUCCUAAUUAGCUGGAGACCGUCUCAGCACUUUCACUGUGCUUUGCCUCUGUAUAUUGAAACUACAGUUCUAUCUUUAAGACUUUAAAAAGCUUCAAACUUCAGGAUGCGUUUUUCUUGGCUGAAAUAUACCUCAGGAUUGGAUCAAGCUUUGGAUUUGCCUUUUCUAAGAUUACUCCUUGGAGCAAUAAUAUAUUUGACAUGGAAACAUUCCUCUCUGCAGAAGUAUCCUAGCUGUUAUGUGUGCUGCUCGAUGGACCAGUACGAUAAUAGACAUGAAGCACUUUGGAACCUGCAUGCAUUAGUAUUCAGGCAUUUGUACUGGCCUGACCUUGGGGUAUCGUCCUCAGCUGUAGCCACCAAGAGCACCUCCUGUGCACAUUCACUAGGUUCCCUUUUAAAAGGGCCCUCCCCCGCCCA